GAAAUGCGAUAAGUAGUGUGAAUUGCAGAAUUCAGUGAAUCAUCGAAUCUUUGAACGCACAUUGCGCCCCUGGUAUUCCAUGGGGCAUGCCUGUUCGAGCGUCAUCUACACCCUCAAGCUCUGCUUGGUGUUGGGCGUCUUUGUCCCGCCUCCGCGCGCGGACUCGCCCCAAAUUCAUUGGCAGCGGUCCUUGCCUCCUCUCGCGCAGCACAUUGCUCUUCUCGAGGUGUUGCGGCCCGCGUCCAGAAAGCAAUCGUUACCGUCUUUGACCUCGGAUCAGGUAGGGAUACCCGCUGAACUUAAGC
rnacentral:misc_RNA from 1 species